rnacentral:rRNA from 1 species
GAGACCUGUACCUACAAUUGCCAGCAGCAGAAUUUCUGGACUGGGCACAUUGUAGGGACUGCCUUGGAAACAAGGAGGAAGGUGCAGGCUACGGUAGGUCUGUAUGCUCCGAAUCUUCUGGGCAACACGCGCGCAACAAUGGUAACGACAAUGGGAUGCAACUCCGAAAGGCGAAGCUAAUCCUCCAAACGUUAUCUUAGUUCAGAUUGAGGAUUGUAACUCAUCCUCAUGACGUUGGAAUCCCUAGUAAUCAGGUCUUAUCACGGCCCGGUGAAUAU